GCAGCACGGGGGCAACCCUGGUGGCGAGUGGCGAACGGGUGAGUAAUACAUCGGAACGUGUCCAGUCGUGGGGGAUAACCAGUCGAAAGACUGGCUAAUACCGCAUGCGCCCGAAAGGGGAAAGCGGGGGACCGCAAGGCCUCGCGCGAUUGGAGCGGCCGAUGUCCGAUUAGCUAGUUGGUGAGGUAACGGCUCACCAAGGCUACGAUCGGUAGCUGGUCUGAGAGGACGACCAGCCACACUGGGACUGAGACACGGCCCAGACUCCUACGGGAGGCAGCAGUGGGGAAUUUUGGACAAUGGGGGCAACCCUGAUCCAGCCAUGCCGCGUGUGUGAUGAAGGCCUUCGGGUUGUAAAGCACUUUCGGACGGAACGAAAUUGCACGGGCGAAUAUCCCGUGUGGAUGACGGUACCGUAAGAAGAAGCACCGGCUAACUACGUGCCAGCAGCCGCGGUAAUACGUAGGGUGCGAGCGUUAAUCGGAAUUACUGGGCGUAAAGGGUGCGCAGGCGGCCCCGCAAGUCAGGCGUGAAAUCCCCGAGCUUAACUUGGGAAUUGCGCUUGAAACUAC
rnacentral:rRNA from 1 species